rnacentral:rRNA from 1 species
CCGGCGACCGGCGCACGGGUGAGUAACACGUAUGGAACCUGCCCGCAGCAGGGGGAUAAGCGGAAGAAAUUCCGUCUAAUACCGCGUAACAACGUUGGGAGGCAUCUCCCGAUGUUUAAAGAUUUAUCGGCUGCGGAUGGCCAUGCGGCGCAUCAGCUAGUCGGCGGGGUAACGGCCCACCGAGGCGACGAUGCGUAGGGGUUCUGAGAGGAAGGUCCCCCACACUGGUACUGAGACACGGACCAGACUCCUACGGGAGGCAGCAG